rnacentral:rRNA from 1 species
ACGGCUGAGUAACGCGUGGGUGACGUACCUGUUGGUGGGGAAUAACUGCCCGAAAGGGUGGCUAAUUCCGCAUAAGUCCUUUCGUUCAAUUGAAAGGGGAAAGCUUCGCAAGAGGUGCCGAUGGAGCGGCCCGCGUCCGAUUAGCUGGUUGGUGGGGUAACGGCCUACCAAGGCGACGAUCGGUAGCUGGUCUUAGAGGAUGAUCAGCCAGACUGGGACUGAGACACGGCCCAG